rnacentral:rRNA from 1 species
AGAGUUUGAUCCUGGCUCAGAACGAACGCUGGCGGCGUGCCUAACACAUGCAAGUCGUACGAGAAAUCCUGGGUAACUGGGAAAGUAAAGUGGCGCACGGGUGAGUAACGCGUGGGUAACCUGUCCUUGGAUUUGGGAUAACUCCGCGAAAGCGGGGUUAAUACCGAAUGAUAUUCCGAUUCCUAAGGGAGUCGGAAUCAAAGGUGGCCUCUGCAUGCAAGCUAUUGUCUAAGGAUGGGCCCGCGUACCAUUAGCUUGUUGGUAGGGUAAUGGCCUACCAAGGCAACGAUGGUUAGCUGGUCUUAGAGGAUGGCCAGCCACACUGGAACUGAGACACGGUCCAGACUCCUACGGGAGGCAGCAGUGGGGAAUCUUGCGCAAUGGGGGAAACCUUGACGCAGCAACGCCGCGUGGGUGAUGAAGGCCUUCGGGUCGUAAAGCCCUGUCAGGUGGGAAGAAACAUGUCGGUGCUAAUAUCACCGAUGUUUGACGGUACCGCCGGAGGAAGCACCGGCUAACUCCGUGCCAGCAGCCGCGGUAAUACGGAGGGUGCAAGCGUUGUUCGGAAUUACUGGGCGUAAAGCGCGUGUAGGCGGUCGGGCAAGUCAGAUGUGAAAGCCUUCCGCUUAACGGAAGAAGUGCAUUUGAAACUACCUGGCUGGAGUACGGGAGAGGAGAGUGGAAUUCCCGGUGUAGAGGUGAAAUUCGUAGAUAUCGGGAGGAACACCAGUGGCGGAGGCGGCUCUCUGGUCCGAUACUGACGCUGAGACGCGAAAGCGUGGGGAGCAAACAGGAUUAGA